rnacentral:tRNA from 1 species
UGCGGGGUAGAGCAGAGGCAGCUCGUCGGGCUCAUAACCCGGAGGUCGCAGGUUCGAAUCCUGUCCCUGCUA